CUACACAUCAGAGCAGCAGCGCGCAAUACCACUCCGCACGGGAGUAGUAGACGAAAAAUAACGAUGCGGGGCUCAUUUGAGACGCCGCAUUACGGAAUGAGCGGGUUCCAAACACUCCCGUCGAGUACCCAUUGAAGGGCAAGUCUGGUGCCAGCAGCUGCGGUAACUCCAGCUUCAAUAGCGUAUAUUAAAGUUGUUGCGGUUAAAAAGCUCGUAGUUGGAUCUCAGUCCGGGACGGUCGCUCCGCCCGUUCAAAGGCGGCCAGCUUCCGAUUUCCGCGGACACGAUUGCCGGUCGUCCCCCGAUGAUCUUGACCGGUUGUCAAGGGUGGACCGGCGGGUUUACUUUGAAAAAAUUAGAGUGCUCAGGGCAGGCCUCGACGCCUGGAUAAUGGUGCAUGGAAUAAUGGAAUAGGACCUCGGUUCUAUUUUGUUGGUUUUAAGGGACCGGAGGUAAUGAUUGAGAGGAACGGACGGGGGCAUUCGUAUUGCGGCGCUAGAGGUGAAAUUCUUGGACCGUCGCACGACGAACCACUGCGAAAGCAUUUGCCAAGAAUGUUUCCGUUAAUCAAGAACGAAAGUCAGAGGCUCGAAGGCGAUCAGAUACCGCCCUAGUUCUGACCAUAAACGAUGCCAGCCAGCGAUCCGGCUGCGUUCCUCAAAUGACGCGCCGGGCAGCUUCCGGGAAACCAAAAGCUUUUGGGUUCCGGGGGGAGUAUGGUUGCAAAGCUCAAACUUAAAGGAAUUGACGGAAGCGCACACAAGGAUUGGGGCCUGCGGUUUAAUUUGACUCAACACGGUGCAACUCACCCGGUCCGGACACAGGAAGGAUUGACAGAU
rnacentral:rRNA from 1 species